rnacentral:rRNA from 1 species
AUUAAGUUGGGCACGUCUAAGGAGGACUGCCGGUAGACAAACCGGAGGAAGGUGGGGAUGACGUCAAGUCAUCAUGGCCCUUACGGCCUGGGCUACACACGUGCUACAAUGGUCGGUACAAAGGGUUGCCAAGCCGCGAGGUGGAGCUAAUCCCAUAAAGCCGGUCUCAGUCCGGAUCGCAGUCUGCAACUCGACUGCGUGAAGUUGGAAUCGCUAGUAAUCGUAGAUCAGCAUGCUACGGUCGAAUACGUUCCCGGGCCUU